rnacentral:rRNA from 1 species
CAGCCGCCGCGGGAAUACGAAGGGUGCAAGCGUUACUCGGAAUUACUGGGCGUAAAGCGUGCGUAGGUGGUGGUUUAAGUCCGUUGUGAAAGCCCUGGGCUCAACCUGGGAAUUGCAGUGGAUACUGGGUCACUAGAGUGUGGUAGAGGAUAGUGGAAUUUCCGGUGUAGCGGUGAAAUGCGUAGAGAUCUGGAGGAAUACCGAUGGCGAAGGCAGCCAUCUGGCCUAAUACUGACGCUGAGGUACGAAAGCAUGGGGAGCAAACAGGAUUAGAUACCCGCGUAGUCCCUGUCUCUUAUAC